UUCGGAUAGGUUUGAUCCUGGCUCCAGAAUCAACGCUGGCCGGCCGUGCCCUAACACAUGCCAAGUCGAACGCGAAAAGGGACCUCCGGUCCCUGAGUAGAGUGGCGAACGGGUGAGUAACGCGUGGGUGACCUACCCUCGAGUGGGGGAUAACGUUCCGAAAGGGACGCUAAUACCGCAUGACAUUCCUGGUUUGAAGACUGGGAAAUCAAAGCCGGGGACCGCGAGGCCUGGCGCUUGAGGAGGGGCCCGCGUCUGAUUAGCUAGUUGGCGGGGUAACGGCCUACCAAGGCGACGAUCAGUAGCCGGCCUGAGAGGGCGGACGGCCACACUGGGACUGAGACACGGCCCAGACUCCUACGGGAGGCAGCAGUGGGGAAUUGUUCGCAAUGGGCGCAAGCCUGACGACGCAACGCCGCGUGGAGGAUGAAGGUCUUCGGAUUGUAAACUCCUGUUGGUCGGGACGAAAAGCUUCAACCUAAUACGUUGAAGACUGACGGUACCGGUUGAGGAAGCCACGGCUAACUCUGUGCCAGCAGCCGCGGUAAUACAGAGGUGGCAAGCGUUGUUCGGAAUUACUGGGCGUAAAGGGCGCGUAGGCGGCCUUCUAAGUCGGACGUGAAAGCCCCAGGCUUAACCUGGGAACUGCGUCUGAUACUGGGAGGCUUGGAUUCGGGAGAGGGAUGUGGAAUUCCAGGUGUAGCGGUGAAAUGCGUAGAUAUCUGGAGGAACACCGGUGGCGAAGGCGGCAUCCUGGACCGAGAUCGACGCUGAGGCGCGAAAGCUAGGGGAGCAAACGGGAUUAGAUACCCCGGUAGUCCUAGCCCUAAACGAUGAGUGCUUGGUGUGGCGGGUAUCGAUCCCUGCCGUGCCGAAGCUAACGCAUUAAGCACUCC
rnacentral:rRNA from 1 species